GUUUAUUACGAUCCCUUCGGGGUGACGAUUUACUGACUGAGUGGCGGACGGGUGAGUAACGCGUGGGUAACCUACCUUGUACAGGGGGACAACAGUUGGAAACGACUGCUAAUACCGCAUAAGCGCACAGCUUCGCAUGAAGGAGUGUGAAAAGUUAUUUCGGUACAAGAUGGACCCGCGUCUGAUUAGCUAGUUGGUGAGGUAACGGCUCACCAAGGCGACGAUCAGUAGCCGACCUGAGAGGGUGACCGGCCACAUUGGGACUGAGACACGGCCCAAACUCCUACGGGAGGCAGCAGUGGGGAAUAUUGCACAAUGGGCGAAAGCCUGAUGCAGCGACGCCGCGUGAGCGAAGAAGUAUUUCGGUAUGUAAAGCUCUAUCAGCAGGGAAGAUAAUGACGGUACCUGACUAAGAAGCACCGGCUAAAUACGUGCCAGCAGCCGCGGUAAUACGUAUGGUGCAAGCGUUAUCCGGAUUUACUGGGUGUAAAGGGAGCGUAGGCGGUUUUACAAGUCUGAUGUGAAAGCCCGCAGCUCAACUGCGGUAUUGCAUUGGAAACUGUAGAACUAGAGUGUCGGGGGGGUAAGUGGAAUUCCUAGUGUAGCGGUGAAAUGCGUAGAUAUUAGGAGGAACACCGGUGGCGAAGGCGGCUUACUGGACGAUGACUGACGUUGAGGCUCGAAAGCGUGGGGAGCAAACAGG
rnacentral:rRNA from 1 species